rnacentral:tRNA from 1 species
GUUAAGAUGGCCGAGUUGGUCUAAGGCGCCAGAUUAAUCCAACAGGGCGCGGGUUUGAAUCCUACUCUCAACA